rnacentral:rRNA from 1 species
UACGGAGGGUGCGAGCGUUGUCCGGAAUCACUGGGCGUAAAGGGCGCGUAGGCGGCCUGAUAAGUAGGGGGUGAAAUCCUGCGGCUUAACCGCAGGGCUGCCUUCUAAACUGUCAGGCUAGAGCACGGUAGAGGCAGAUGGAAUUCCCGGUGUAGCGGUGGAAUGCGUAGAGAUCGGGAGGAACACCAAUGGCGAAGGCAGCUCGCUGGGACGGUACUGACGCUGAGGCGCGAAAGCGUGGGGAGCAAACAGG